CGAAAGGGGGCCUGGUGUCCUCGGAGAAUCAGGAGAAUCCGACGGUUGUGUUCGCCUCCCUCUCUGCCAUUAUUUUGAUCCUUCUAUCUCCCUCCUCGGUCUACCCCCCUCUCCCCCAGGGACCAGCUCUGGGAUCUGGUGUAGGUUCUCGAUGACCCAAAGGACACCAGUCAGAGUUCUUCCUCAAGAGUCUUCAAGCUGGAUCCGAGAGAAAGGAGACCCAUGCUCUCUAUGUUCCCGGAGUCAUCAGGUGUAUUUCUUCGGGCCCGCCCACACUCUAACUCUUCUUGCUAGUUUGAGUUCAUUUUCAAUGGAAAGAGACUUAAAAAUACAAGGCAGACACCAUCAGGAAGGCAAAAGUAAAUUCUCCACUAUCUGAAAAAUCAGAGCUUUCAUGUUCGUAAGAAGCUAUUUGAGAUUUGAAAGUGCGAGUCUUUGCUGGGCGUGCAGAUCUGUUCAUUUUAGUUUCAGUCUGUUUUACGUAAACACAUUCUUUCUGAAACAGAAAAUUCUCAAAAACGCCAGAGCAAUACAAUAAGGAUGAGUAUCAGCAUUUCUUGGGUGUUUGCUACGUGCUGGUUACUACCUAACAUGUACUUACGUUUUUCAUCCUCACAAAACCGGAUGAAACUCUUCUACUCAUUCCUCCUUCCCCAUUUUAUAAAUGUGGAAACGGAGGCACAGGGAAGUUAAGUGAUUUCUCCCGGGUUGCACAACCAGGAAGUGAGAGAGACAGGAUCUGGACUCCAACCUUCCAAGCUCAGAGACUGAGAUUUGAAUCUAGAAAUAGACCAAAGUAUUGAAAACCACAGGUUUCUAGUUAUGACAAUCUCGUUUGAGACAGAAUUAUGAAUUUUUAAUUUUUUUGAAAUAACUUUCGCUGUCUCUCAAGGCAAUGAAAAAGUUGUGCGUGCCCUCAAAGGUAUUCUGCAGUAUGACUUGAACCUGCGUGCGAGCAAUGGUCAGCCCGGAGAUGUUUCGCUCUGCCUUUCAGGGGCGGAGCCGGUGCCAACAUCCCCAUCUCCGAUGCCCAUUCUGGCUGCACCAUUGUGGAAAUGCAUCUUGAAGGAAACACUGACGCUCCCAGAAGCCACGCGGGGAGGCAGCCUGGCCUGGAAGGCGGUAGAGGGCUGAGCGCUGUGAAACCCUCAGAGCACGAGCUCUGCCCAACCUUUGAUCUUAACCAUGGAUGGCGUCCAAUAGACCAAACAGAAAGAUGGUUAAAAUGCUCAGUCCCGCCCUCUCAAGGUCCCUGAGGCACAUGCAAAGUAGGAGAACAUGGACCAAGGCUCGUUUAGAUGUCAUUCCUGGGAAGCGUUUCAUGCAAUAGCGGGAGAAUCGGGUUGAAACCCAAAGCCAUGACCUAGAGUCUUCGGCCAAGUGCUAACUUCCUACCUGUUAACGUUUUCUUUUGGGGCAACCAGAGAAACAACCCGCCUCCUUUGUUCUGGACCAGAGGGGACUAGGAGAAUCAGAAUGACUGGGCCCCUCACUUCCUGUGAGGUUGUGAAACAAAAGGUUUCCCCACGGUGAGCCCUCCAGAGAGCAAGGUCACGUUGAUCUACGGCAAGUGACUCACACCAGGCUUUGCCCGGUCUCCUCUGCAAAGACUCAAGAGCCGAGAGUAAAAUCUCAUAAUGGUUCCGCGACGGAAGACAAAGGGCCCCUCGGCGCUGAGGAACGUGCUGAUCAUUCAGCUGGAUCCCUUGGUCUUUGCCUUUUAAUUCUCAAAUGAAAAAUAUUCUAAAACGACAGGAAAGACUUCUUGGGGGUCCGUGGGGACUCUUCUUCCCUUCGUUCAGCAAGGAAAAAAUACCUGUGGGACGUACUAAGAAACAGACUUGUGUAUCUCUGCCCUGGGUUCUAAUAUUUGGUCUUUGACCCUAGUUCCUGACACAGAGUUCUUAAAACCCAUGUAAUUUCCUGGGUGAUUGGAGUGUCUUCUGUUCUGAUGAGGACACUCCUGGAUGGCUCCUGGAUGGCGGCUGGUCACCAAAAAGGCCGAGCCAUGUUUAGAAGCUGGGAACUUUCAGCAUUGCCCCCUGCCCUGCCCCGUUCUUGAGAGUAGGGGCUAGAAAUGGAGUUAAAUGGAUGAUCAUGCCAAUGGGAUGAAGCCUCCCUAAAAUUCCUGAAAGUACAGGGUUUGGAGAGUGUCUAGAUUGGUGAACACUUCCAUAGGCCCCUGGGACACAAGCCGCGGCACUGGAGAUCCUUCCCACACUCUGCUCUAUACACCCCCUCAUUUGACUUUUCAUCUGUUUCUUCUAUUAGAUAAUAUUAUUAUUAGAUAAUAUUAGAUGAUAAACUUCCAACUGAGUGUUGUCCUGAGUUCUGUGGGCUGUCUAGGGUGUGAUGGAACC